GAUGAACGCUGGCGGCGUGCCUAAUACAUGCAAGUCGAGCGAACGGACGAGAAGCUUGCUUCUCUGAUGUUAGCGGCGGACGGGUGAGUAACACGUGGAUAACCUACCUAUAAGACUGGGAUAACUUCGGGAAACCGGAGCUAAUACCGGAUAAUAUUUUGAACCGCAUGGUUCAAAAGUGAAAGACGGUCUUGCUGUCACUUAUAGAUGGAUCCGCGCUGCAUUAGCUAGUUGGUAAGGUAACGGCUUACCAAGGCAACGAUGCAUAGCCGACCUGAGAGGGUGAUCGGCCACACUGGAACUGAGACACGGUCCAGACUCCUACGGGAGUCAGCAGUAGGGAAUCUUCCGCAAUGGGCGAAAGCCUGACGGAGCAACGCCGCGUGAGUGAUGAAGGUCUUCGGAUCGUAAAACUCUGUUAUUAGGGAAGAACAUAUGUGUAAGUAACUGUGCACAUCUUGACGGUACCUAAUCAGAAAGCCACGGCUAACUACGUG
rnacentral:rRNA from 1 species